rnacentral:rRNA from 1 species
CUCAUUAAAUCAGUUAUAGUUUAUUUGAUGGUCUCUUUUGUCUUUUUUUACCUACUUGGAUAACCGUGGUAAUUCUAGAGCUAAUACAUGCGCAAGGUCCCGAGCGCGGGGGGGCAGGGCUUCACGGCCCUGUCCUCGCACGCGCAGAGGGAUGUAUUUAUUAGGUUAAAAACCAGCGGCAGGGGGUCAGCAAUGGCCCCUGCCAAACACUCCUGGUGAUUCAUAGUAACUCUUUCGGAUCGCAUUCAUG